AAUUAAUAAACUUUAUAUUUUGGCCUUAUUUCAAUAUUUGGUUUUAUUUCGAAGAUCCUUUAUUCCCCGGUACCUCAGCAAAGCGAGUACAUACAGAGAAAACCGUUAUAACAAGUGGUGGAAGAACCUAAAUGCCCACAGCAGCAAACCGGAAACCAGUGACGCGCCUGCAAGCCCGGACUCAACUGACGUUCACGGAACCAUCCACUGUGGAUCCAACUCAGGAACAGGAACAACCCGCUUCAGAUAUUGAGGAUUCAGACUCAGAAGUAACACUGCGACUGCCUGAACCUACAUUCGAACAACCGUCACCAAUUAAUCAUCCGACCGCAACACCGGCUCGUCAAUCAGGUAUGGAGAGUUUUAUUAAGUACUACGGCACAUUUGAUGGGUCUGACGAUAAUGCGGCAUAUGAAUUUUUGAUAGAUUUAGAACAUUAUGCAAAAGCUCAUAAAUUAAAAGACGAAGAUGUUGUUCUGGGAUUUCCGACGCUGCUAAGGGGAAAUGCAAAACGUUGGUUUAUUUAUUCGGAGAUAGAUAAAACAAACAUCAAAACAAUAACGGACGCGUUUAAAUCUCGAUUUUUAAACCGGAGUAAAUGUUCAACAGCAACUUUAUUCCAACAAAAACAAAGAGUAGGUGAAAAUGUACAAGACUACAUUACGUCUAUGAGAGCAACGGCUGCACGUUUAGGCACUCCAGAUCGCCAAGUGUUAGAGGCCAUCAUGGAUGGUUUUCUUCCCGAGAUUCGGGAAAAAGUCAUAAUGAAGGACCCUCGCACUCUUGAGGAUUUGGAGAGCGCCGCCGUACUUUCAGAGACUGCGCGCUCUAAUCCUGCUUUCAGAACCGACUCAAGUAAUACCUGUCAAGCUGGAAAUUCAAAAUCUGAACUUCAGACAUUAGUUCAAGCUAUGUCUGAACUCAUCAAAACACAAAAUUAUUCAAUUCAGGCCAUUCAAACAGUCCUAGUCGCUUGUGAUGAACCAAAGAGCACUUCAUAUACGCAGAUUGAAUUCUUUUACAAAAACCAAAAUUCAAUUCCGUGUGUUCUUGCUGCGGAUGUUACAGAAGAACAACCAGUGUACACAGCACCUGAAGAGACGAAUGACGUAGAUACAUUACCUCCAAUUCAUCCUAGCCUUCUACGCGAACUUACUAUGGAAGAUAUUUCCAAGCUUCAAAAACAGUCUACAGAUUUCAAACCAAUCAUUGAUUACAUCUGUUUAGAAGAACUUCCAAACAAUGCAAGAGAAGCCAGAACAAUUACUGCACAAGCACAAUCCUAUGUGAUGACGGAUGAUGUAUUAUAUCAUUUUUACACAGCCAGAACUAGAGGAGUACCACGACCAGCAAGAAUCAUAAAACAAACGAUGAUAUACAAAAAUGCACAACAAAAACCAGAAAAUGAGGAACGUGAUAUUCAAAAUCAACAAUUACCACCUCGCCAAGAACAAGACCAACAAGAUCAAGAGUUUUACGAAAUAGACAAACUUUUAGGGAAAAAACAAAUGAAUGGAAAAACAUAUUUCAAAGUUAAAUGGGUCGGUUAUCGCGAGACCACAUGGGAGCCACAGGAACAAAUACCACCUCUCCCUCUUCAAAAUUUCUAUAAAACACACACAAAGGCUGGGAAAAGACGCAACAUGUUCAACUUAGUAUUGUUUUAUCUAUGGCUGACGGUAACAGUGACAGAAGCAGAUCAGGGUGUAAAUAGGAUUAACUAUGGUGUCAUCUUUGAACAACACGGGAAAUUUACUCCAAUACAAAAUUGGAAGCAUACAUUUUACUUGCCUCUGCCAAACUUAAUCGUCCAAGGAAAGCCAAAUACCAACAUAACUAACCCGCAAUUUGCCAAGUCCGUAAACACCAUCUACGACAUUCAUUUGGAUUCCCUUAAAAGGAUAGCAACAAGCAUUUCAAACAUUAAACAACUUCUUCCGGAACACGGCGCUCCAAAACCAUCUAGACGAAAAAGAUCAUUUCUCCCCUUCUUUGGCGAACUUUCCAAAACUCUUUUCGGCACAGCAACUGUUGAUGACGUAAACAACUUGAAGAGAUCAAUACAAAGAAUCCAACGACAAAAUAACCUUAUGACCACAGCUUUCGAACACCAAAUGGAACACUUCUCAUCUUUUCUAACAUCUGCUGAUCAACGGCUUAAUAAUGCAUUUGAAGCCGUGGAGUUAACUCAUCCUCAGAAACGUUUAUUCGUGGUUCACAUGCAUGUCAUUCUUCACCUUCAAAUCUAACUGCUAUAUAUCCUGUUAACCUAGCCCUUCUGCAGAAUUAUUUUUCCUUUAAUGAUUUAAAAACUAUUACCGCCAAUUCAACGUUUCCUAAGCCUGUUAAUGCAACUCUUCCUCAAUUUAAAAUUUUUGACCACAAAUUUUCUUCAUUAGUUGCCAAUGAUCAAAAGCUUCAUCUUAAUUUACGAAAAGCAAUCCAACUUACGAAAAAGGAUCAAAUUAUAUUUAAGCAACUAUCCGAUACAACAUUGGACGACAACCUAUUUCCUGAGACAGUCCUUACUAACCAAAUG
rnacentral:sRNA from 1 species